rnacentral:rRNA from 1 species
UACGUAGGGUGCAAGCGUUAAUCGGAAUUACUGGGCGUAAAGCGUGCGCAGGCGGCUAUGCAAGACAGAUGUGAAAUCCCCGGGCUCAACCUGGGAACUGCAUUUGUGACUGCAUGGCUGGAGUGCGGCAGAGGGGGAUGGAAUUCCGCGUGUAGCAGUUAAAUGCGUAGAUAUGCGGAGGAACACCGAUGGCGAAGGCAAUCCCCUGGGCCUGCACUGACGCUCAUGCACGAAAGCGUGGGGAGCAAACAGG